UGUGUGUGUGUGUGUGUGUGUGUGUGUGUGUGUGUGUGUGUGUGCUGACUCAUCUAAAUGAGCGUGGCUUAUUCUUCUCUUCUCCACUUAUUCUUCUCGUCCUUUCUUCUUCCUCCUUGUUGUCUAAUAGAGUCAUCUCAAGUGCAAAGUUUAUCAACUUGAAGCCCAAAGUUGUAGUUUUUCAAACGUUUGUUGACGCCAAGGUUAGCAGUGCGCGUGCGUGCGCGUGAGUCGCCCCCGAUCAUCCGCUAAUCUCUUUAUCUACGACUGAACGCUUCUGCUGGGUCGGGGGGGAAAGUUUUUCUUUCUUCUGGUGGAUUUCAAGGUUGUUUGGGGGUCGAGGGGGGGGGCGCAGUUGUGUUUCCAUGGCAAUGGCUUGGAUGUAGACGGCGUAACCCGGGGCAGGGGGCAACAGUUUAUCACCUGACAGAAGGAAGGAGCGCACCCCAUGGCCCAGGUUUCGACAGUUCAUGCGGCUGCCCCACUUUUGGACGACAUGGAUGACCACCGGUGUGCUGGAGAUCUCUUCAAUAUCAACAACAGCAACAACAACAAAGACAAGUAACACACACACAUACACACA